rnacentral:rRNA from 1 species
GUUGUGAGGUUAAGCGACUAAGCGUACACGGUGGAUGCCCUGGCAGUCAGAGGCGAUGAAGGACGUGCUAAUCUGCGAUAAGCGUCGGUAAGGUGAUAUGAACCGUUAUAACCGGCGAUUUCCGAAUGGGGAAACCCAGUGUGAUUCGUCACACUAUCAUUAACUGAAUCCAUAGGUUAAUGAGGCGAACCGGGGGAACUGAAACAUCUAAGUACCCCGAGGAAAAGAAAUCAACCGAGAUUCCCCCAGUAGCGGCGAGCGAACGGGGAGCAGCCCAGAGCCUGAAUCAGUGUGUGUGUUAGUGGAAGCGUCUGGAAAGGCGUGCGAUACAGGGUGACAGCCCCGUACACAAAAAUGCACAUACUGUGAGCUCGAUGAGUAGGGCGGGACACGUGGUAUCCUGUCUGAAUAUGGGGGGACCAUCCUCCAAGGCUAAAUACUCCUGACUGACCGAUAGUGAACCAGUACCGUGAGGGAAAGGCGAAAAGAACCCCGGCGAGGGGAGUGAAAAAGAACCUGAAACCGUGUACGUACAAGCAGUGGGAGCACGCUUAGGCGUGUGACUGCGUACCUUUUGUAUAAUGGGUCAGCGACUUAUAUUCUGUAGCAAGGUUAACCGAAUAGGGGAGCCGAAGGGAAACCGAGUCUUAACUGGGCGUUAAGUUGCAGGGUAUAGACCCGAAACCCGGUGAUCUAGCCAUGGGCAGGUUGAAGGUUGGGUAACACUAACUGGAGGACCGAACCGACUAAUGUUGAAAAAUUAGCGGAUGACUUGUGGCUGGGGGUGAAAGGCCAAUCAAACCGGGAGAUAGCUGGUUCUCCCCGAAAGCUAUUUAGGUAGCGCCUCGUGAAUUCAUCUCCGGGGGUAGAGCACUGUUUCGGCAAGGGGGUCAUCCCGACUUACCAACCCGAUGCAAACUGCGAAUACCGGAGAAUGUUAUUACGGGAGACACACGGCGGGUGCUAACGUCCGUCGUGAAGAGGGAAACAACCCAGACCGCCAGCUAAGGUCCCAAAGUCAUGGUUAAGUGGGAAACGAUGUGGGAAGGCCCAGACAGCCAGGAUGUUGGCUUAGAAGCAGCCAUCAUUUAAAGAAAGCGUAAUAGCUCACUGGUCGAGUCGGCCUGCGCGGAAGAUGUAACGGGGCUAAACCAUGCACCGAAGCUGCGGCAGCGACGCUUAUGCGUUGUUGGGUAGGGGAGCGUUCUGUAAGCCUGUGAAGGUGUGCUGUGAGGUAUGCUGGAGGUAUCAGAAGUGCGAAUGCUGACAUAAGUAACGAUAAAGCGGGUGAAAAGCCCGCUCGCCGGAAGACCAAGGGUUCCUGUCCAACGUUAAUCGGGGCAGGGUGAGUCGACCCCUAAGGCGAGGCCGAAAGGCGUAGUCGAUGGGAAACAGGUUAAUAUUCCUGUACUUGGUGUUACUGCGAAGGGGGGACGGAGAAGGCUAUGUUGGCCGGGCGACGGUUGUCCCGGUUUAAGCGUGUAGGCUGGUUUUCCAGGCAAAUCCGGAAAAUCAAGGCCGAGGCGUGAUGACGAGGCACUACGGUGCUGAAGCAACAAAUGCCCUGCUUCCAGGAAAAGCCUCUAAGCAUCAGGUAACAUCAAAUCGUACCCCAAACCGACACAGGUGGUCAGGUAGAGAAUACCAAGGCGCUUGAGAGAACUCGGGUGAAGGAACUAGGCAAAAUGGUGCCGUAACUUCGGGAGAA